AAGGGUCUAGUUAAAGUAUAAUGCAGGCUUGUCGAGCCUUAGUUACUAGUCUUAGUGAUUCUUU
rnacentral:tRNA from 1 species